rnacentral:lncRNA from 1 species
AGGCAUGGCAGAUAGCGUGGAAACGGAUGUUCACUGACGAUGUUGCGGCGAGCAUACGGUGUUACUAAGUUGCAGGGUGCUGUGUCAGCGGGCGUCGAAAUAGUGAAUUCGAGAGUUUUCAUUAAAACAUGGCAUGGAAGAGCGACCGGAGGUCGACAGUUCGUCAGGGGGCAAAUUUCUAAAGCGGGAAAAAAAGUGGCGGCAGUUCUCCAUGAACUCUUAGUCCUCCCGUUUUUGUCGUUCGUUGAACGAGCAACACGAAGGUGACCCGCAUCAUUUUAGGGGUUCACAAUCACGUGGCGUUUUGCUGGAACGGGCACCAGCGAGCGUGUUCUGGCUGUCGAAGUCGGAUGCCCGUCGACAUUGUACUAGAGAGUGUGCAAGCGUGACGAAUAGUGGCGUCUCGCCAUUGUAUCCGGGCAGCACACGGGGCUUUGUUCCGAGGUGCCACCUGAUUCGGUUAAGAUUCUUCGUGUAUGCAUGUUGUGUACGGAGCUGGAAUAUAUUUAAAGUAUUUUCCCCUGACUCACCCGCCUGCACAUACAUGUGCCUCGGAAAAGUGUAUUCUACGAGUUGAGGACGCUGUCGGAAACGAUUUUUGGCGUAGAAUGGACUCAGCGACUGAUAAUGGGGAGGAACAUUCGCAUCGCUGAAUAUCGUUGUAUUAUCUAGAAACGCACAGGCACGGCACACAAAAGUGUUUGGGUAUGGCGACUCAUUACGACUCGCUGCACAAAGAAGGUAUUCGAAAAUAUGGAUACCCGUUACGACUCCGUUGAUCAUCUGAUCGAGAGCAGACAACUUCGACAUUUCUAACACGACGCGGUGUUGGUGUCUUGGUGGCCCGAAGUACUUCUGAACGAGCCAUCAGCGGUGCCUUCCAAUCUGAUGUAUUUGCUCGCUCGUUUUUCUACUUGAACCGAUUCACUGACCCGCCAUAUCCGUCGUGUCAUGUGAGAAAGAGGGUGCCAAAUUUGCGGGUGGUGUCGAAGUGAUGUAGUCGGGUAACGUGAGUGUGAAUUGCCCCUGUUUCAUACACACACGGCGUUGUAAUGCAGCAACAUUGUUUGGCGCAAUGCUGUGGCUCCCCUUAAGUCUGCGCCCUAUCAAGAAAGGGAGAGGCUAGUUACAGAUUUUGACACUGUCAAGCCUCAGCUCUAAACUCCACGACGGUCUUUGGGUUUUCUCGCUAGGUGCAGUAUCGGCACCACGUCUCUAACAAGCUGGUUGUAGACAAAGGCGUUGCAGAUUUAAGUGGUCCUCGCGGGAGAAUGAUAAACCACAAAUGGAGACUCGAAAAGGGUCAUGCCCUGUCACCAAAUCAGUGGUUUCUAAUCGCGAGGCAAAUGUUCUGAUACGGGAGAG